UACAGAGGUCCCGAGCGUUGUUCGGAUUCACUGGGCGUAAAGGGUGCGUAGGUGGCGAUGAAAGUUCGAUGUGAAAUCUCCGGGCUUAACCCGGAAAAGGCAUUGAAAACUCUGUCGCUGGAGGGUUGGAGGGGGGACUGGAAUUCUUGGUGUAGCAGUGAAAUGCGUAGAUAUCAAGAGGAACACCAGUGGCGAAGGCGGGUCCCUGGACAACACCUGACACUGAGGCACGAAAGCUAGGGGAGCAAACAGG
rnacentral:rRNA from 1 species